rnacentral:rRNA from 1 species
AUUCCAGCUCCAAUAGCGUAUAUUAAAGUUGUUGCAGUUAAAACGCUCGUAGUCGGAUUUCGGGGCGGGCCGACCGGUCUGCCGAUGGGUAUGCACUGGCCGGCGCGUCCUUCCACCCGGCGGCGCGCCUCCUCUUAACUGAGCGGGCGCGGGAGACGGGUCUUUUACUUUGAAAAAAUCAGAGUGUUUCAAGCAGGCAGUCGCUCUUGCAUGGAUUAGCAUGGGAUAAUGAAAUAGGACUCUGGUGCUAUUUUGUUGGUUUCGAACACCGGAGUAAUGAUUAACAGGGACAGUCAGGGGCACUCGUAUUCCGCCGAGAGAGGUGAAAUUCUCAGACCAGCGGAAGACGAACCACUGCGAAAGCAUUUGCCAGGGAUGUUUUCAUCA